rnacentral:rRNA from 1 species
AUUGAACGCUGGCGGCAGGCCUAACACAUGCAAGUCGAGCGGCAGCGGAAAGUAGCUUGCUACUUUGCCGGCGAGCGGCGGACGGGUGAGUAAUGUCUGGGAAACUGCCUGAUAGAGGGGGAUAACUACUGGAAACGGUAGCUAAUACCGCAUAACGUCGCAAGACCAAAGAGGGGGACCUUCGGGCCUCUUGCCAUCAGAUGUGCCCAGAUGGGAUUAGCUAGUAGGUGGGGUAACGGCUCACCUAGGCGACGAUCCCUAGCUGGUCUGAGAGGAUGACCAGCCACACUGGAACUGAGACACGGUCCAGACUCCUACGGGAGGCAGCAGUGGGGAAUAUUGCACAAUGGGCGCAAGCCUGAUGCAGCCAUGCCGCGUGUAUGAAGAAGGCCUUCGGGUUGUAAAGUACUUUCAGCGGGGAGGAAGGCGUUGAGGUUAAUAACCUCAGCGAUUGACGUUACCCGCAGAAGAAGCACCGGCUAACUCCGUGCCAGCCGCCGCCGUAACAC